UCCCCCCGCAUCUUCGAGGGCUCCCACCCGAAACUGAGCAGUGCUGAAGUCACCGUCAGGCUGACCCCACAGCGCCAGCACCAUGGACAGCGCCUGCUCUGCAGCGCAUCCAAUGAGGCCGGGGCUGCCCCGACCGAGGCCGCGCUCGUCCUUGACGUCCUCUUCCCCCCGGGCCCCCCCACCAUCGAGGGCCUGGAUUCGCCCCACGUGCGGGCGGGGGACACCCUGGAGCUGGUGUGCGUCGUGCGGGGGGGGAACCCCCCUCCCAGCCUCCAUUGGGACAAGGUAAUGGGGGCAAUGGGGGUA